UACAGAGGUCCCAAGCGUUGUUCGGAUUCAUUGGGCGUAAAGGGUGCGUAGGUGGUGGGGUAAGUCGGAUGUGAAAUCUCGGGGCUCAACCUCGAAACUGCAUUCGAUACUGCCUUGCUAGAGUACUGGAGAGGAGAUCGGAAUUUACGGUGUAGCAGUGAAAUGCGUAGAUAUGGGAAGGAAGACCAGUGGCGAAGGCGGAUCUCUGGACAAUUACUGACACUGAGGCACGAAAGCCAGGGGAGCAAACGGG
rnacentral:rRNA from 1 species